UCUUCCAGCCAUACCCAGACUAGGCUGCCCGAUCAGGAUGAAGCCCUGCAGACUGUAAUCAGUCCUUGUUCCACUGACCAGAAUCAGACAGAGAUCGUUCCUGUUUCAGAAAUCACCAUUCACCUUCCUGCUUUUCCAGAAAAUGUCCAGUCUCAGAUUGAUGACAUUCUUGAUCAGGUUGUUAUUCAGGACUCUCAGAAUAUGACUAACCAGGCAGGUGCCCAUGACACUAGAUUGUGAGGUAAACUUUGGAGAGAGGAGACUAGUGAAGAAGAAGAGGACUCUUUUACCCCAGUGAUCACCAAAAAUCAAAAGAAAAGGGCCAAAAACAAGAACAAACAGGCCAUUGAGAAAACAUACAACACUCGAAAGAGUUACCUUGUUCAAAAUAAACAAUGAAAGUCCUCUUCUGGAAU
rnacentral:lncRNA from 1 species